UCCGAUCUUUUAAGGAUGAGCUGGUGGG
rnacentral:sRNA from 1 species